UACUGCACUGUUACAAGCACUUGACAUAUGUUACUUUCUCAAUUUAUGUAGAGAAUGUUGUAUGUGAGAGUUUGGAGAAACAUGAAAAUAUGUGCUGUGUAAUUCUGAUAAUUACAUACUUUUUUAGGCUUUACACUUGGAGGUGUUACAAUUUAAGGGAGUGGCACCAUACAAACAGAACACAAGCAGCAAGUGUGAAAAAAAUAGAUCUUUUUAAGAACCACGGCUUCACCAAACAAUGGUGUAUUUACUGUAGUCCUGCUCAUCCAGCCAGCAUUGCAGAAGUUAGACUACUCAUAAAAGAGAUGAAGUUUGAUGAACUGAGACAAAUAAUGAUGUCACCAUUAUCUUUUGGCACUGCAGGUUUGCGAUCAAAAAUGGGAGCAGGUUUUAAUAGAAUAAAUGAUUUGACAAUCAUACAAGCUACUCAAGGUCUUUGUAGGUAUUUAGAAAAGCAGUUUCCAGAUAUCAAAGAAAGGGGAGUCAUUAUUGGAUUUGAUGCACGGCAUAACAGUAAACGCCUUGCCCAAAGAACAAGCUGUGUAUUUGCCAGCCAAGGAGUCCCAGUGUAUAUUUUUUCAAGUAUUACGCCCACUCCAUUUGUUCCCUAUGGAGUUUUGAAAUAUAGAUGUGUUUGUGGAGUUAUGAUAACGGCUUCACACAACCCCAAAGAUGAUAAUGGUUAUAAGGUCUAUUUGGAUAAUGGAGCUCAGAUCAAAUCCCCUCAUGACAAGGGUAUUUCCCAGUGUAUUGCUGAAAACAGAAUUCCUUGGGAAAACUCCUGGGAAAUCAGUCUAGUCAAUCCACUUAUUAAAGACCCUUAUGAGGAGAUAUGUGCAUCUUACUUUGAAGACAUAAAAAAGUAUUGCCAUUACAGUGAAGACAACAGAAAAACCCGGCUGAAAUACACUUUCACUCCUAUGCAUGGUGUUGGACAGAGGUUUGCUGAGCUGGCAUUUGAGGCAUUCAACCUACCUCCUUUUGUAUCUGUGAGAGAACAGAUGGAUCCAGAUCCUGAAUUUCCAACUGUAAAAUAUCCUAACCCUGAGGAAGGAAAGAGUGCCUUAGACCUUGCAAUGAAUACUGCUAAUGAGAAUGGCUGUUCCAUUAUUCUGGCAAAUGAUCCUGACUCUGAUAGAAUGGCUCUUGCAGAGAAACAGCCAACUGGUCAGUGGAAGGUAUUCACUGGAAAUGAGAUUGGAAGUAUGUUUGGAUGGUGGGCAUUCACUUGUCACAAAAAAAAACAUCCUGAGCUAUAUCCAGGCUCAUCUGUUUACAUGAUUGCCAGCACAGUUUCUUCAAAAAUGCUUCAAGCUAUGGCUAGAGAAGAAGGUUUCCUGUUUGAAGAAACUCUGACAGGCUUCAAAUGGAUGGGUAAUCUCGCUUGUGAUCUUAUGGCCCAAGGAAAAACUGUCCUCUUUACAUUUGAAGAAGCAAUAGGGUUUAUGUAUGGCACUACUGUUUUUGACAAAGAUGGCAUCAGCGCUGCUGUGGUAAUGGCAGAAAUGGCUUCUUACCUCAACCGUCAGGGACUUACCUUAACAGAGCAGCUAAACAAUUUGUACAAGAGAUAUGGUGUCCACGUGACUAACAACUCUUACUACCUUUGUUAUUCUCCAUCGACAAUAAAGUCCAUCUUUGAUCGCAUAAGGACUCUCGAGAAUGCUUGGGUGAUAAAUCAACAGUAAACUUAGCAGCAUUCUAAGUUUUGAAACGUACCCCAGUGCGUGCGGUCUCUAUAAACUCUCUGGUAUCAGAGAUCUAACUGCUGGAUAUGAUAGUACCAAGCCUGGUGACAAACCGGUUCUUCCAGUUAGCAAGUC
rnacentral:misc_RNA from 1 species